AGUGUUUGGUGAUGCACAGAGAUGGAUCGGUGAGUGUAUUGACGGUGUCAUCUCUCCUGCGACAGUGAACGGCGGAAGAUGGAUAUGACGGAUCGUUUCCAGCAGUCGCUGAAUCGCCGACAGCGGAACGACGUGGAGGCCGGGACUGGCCGCUCCAGCAACUACGGUGAAGGUUCUUCUUCUGGCCCCUUUGAGAUCUACAGGACGAAAGAUGCUUCCGUCCACCGGCUUAGACGAUGGCGGGUAUGGCUUGAUUUCUUCUCUAUUCCUUGUAUAUAUUGUGUGUAUGUAUCUGUUGCAAUCUGUAUUUUGGCCUGUAAAUAUUAUCAAACCAAUAAAAUUUAUUACAAUGUUAAAUCUGUGAGGGCAUAAGCUUUUUACUGAUUGGGUAGUUUUCGCCCCAUUUCCACUGAAUUUUUAUUUUUUAAAUUAUUGGAAUAUUGUCGGUAGUAUUACUUCAAAGUAUUAUCUUGGGUGGAUAAAUAUAAAUUCUUAAGAUUCUAAGUUUGUUGCCAUGGAGCACUUGUUAGAUGCUAAAAUUGCUCAAAGUCUACUUGUACAGAAGACCAAAAUCCUCCUUUUGCAAUAUUUACUCCCUAACAAUAUGCGUUGCUGAACAGAAUUGCUGCACAAUUCUUCAACACAAAUUCACAAACUAGUAUCCCUUUGGUAUUUGCUUUUGAGUGCUGACAAAUGUCAUAUCUGCAAUGUGGCCCUCUAGUUGUUGUAGUGGUUGUGUCCCCAAUACUUGUUGGUUUAGAUUUCCACUUAGUAGACUAUUGUUAGCACCUUAGUCCAUGGACCGAUUAGGGUUGUGCGUGGUGGCUCUCUUGCCCUGGCCACCCAUGGUAAAGACAUAGGAAUGCAUGCCUUUACAAAUGGGCGAAUGUUCAAGAUAGUGACGCUGCGAAGCAGAUGCAAGAUGCAUGCAAAACGAUUCCUAAUGUACUCAAUAUGGGCUGUGAACAAAUGAACGCAUGGCCUUGACACGGACUCAACACAUGGGAUUUAGACUUAGGCGUGGGCGUGCCUUGGCGCACACGGGACAUGUGCACAGACAAGCAAUUACAAGCAAAAUAGUUACUGGUGUUUGGUUAUUACACUUGUAAUGAUUAUAUGCAUGUCUGAAAUAAUUAUUAUAAGGGCUGUAAUAUUAUUGGUCCAAAUAUCAUGAGUAGUUAGAGCUGACAGUUUUAACUGCAUGUAAAAGUCUCUAUAAAAAGGGACUGUGUGUGUCAGAAUUAAGGCAGAGAAUUUUUAUUUAAAAUUCUAAGUGUAUUUCUAUAUUAUUGCUGGUGUAAUAAAAUAUUGAAAUUGAGUUCCUGUAAAUUAUUGUUGUACCUAAUUUUUAUAAUAGGGACGUGCAAUUUCAAUGUAAUUCAAUGUAAUCCUCUUGUCACUUCUCGCAAGAAUUUCUAUUAAAAACAGCACACGAAGUUCACAUGACCAUUUUUUUUUUACCAUAUUGGCCCUAGUGGUUUAACUGAAGCUUCACUUUGAUCCCUAAAAAUUACCAUUCGAGUUUCAGGUGUUCGCUUUCCGUCCAAAUUCAUAAUGAUCCUAAUUGUUUAAAUAAGAACUGUAGGGACCAAAAUGAAACUUUUGUCAAAAUACAGAGACGAACAUUGAAUUUUAUCCUAUUCUAAUUGUAGGAUGCAAUUUAUGCAAAUACAAAAUGUAAGACUUGGGGUAAAAUAUUUUGUAGUGAAUACAUUACUCGCGUAAAAUUUAUUUAUUCAUUGGAGAAAUUCUCAUUCUUCUAUUGUCGUCUAAAGGUUUCGAUAAAGUUGAAACUGGUUUGGUGUGUGCCAAUAAUCACCCUAUUGUUGGCAAAGCCGGCCCUGGGCUGAAGCCAAUUCAGCCCAGGCUUUAGGCCCACUGAAAAAACCCAAAUUUUGGGGCCCCAAAUUCUAAAAAAAUAAAAAAAAAUUAGGUGCAAGAGACUUGGGCAGUUGGGCGGCCCAGGCCCCAGGGCCUCAAACCCAAACGCUGCACUCUCUCUCUCUCUUCCCCCAAACGCUACUUAGGUUAGGUCGCCAAAAACCCCCUCAAUCGAUCUCUCAACCAAUAGACCCAAACGGCUGCCCCAACUUCUCGAUCUCUCGAGCUCGACAAAAGCCUGGAACUGGAAGCGUUCGAAAUCGAAAUAGAUCUCAAGUAUGGAACUAGAAAAUCUAGACUGGAAGUCUUGAGGCUGGAUUGAGGCUGGAACUGAAAGUUGGAAGUGCUCGAAUCGAAUGAUUUGUCUUGUUUUCGGAAUAGGCUGAAGGCCCAACAAUUCAGUGAAUUUAUCCAACUUAAAUUAAUGAUUUGUUUUUGUUUAAAAUUUUUUUUUUUUGCGUUCCGUUAGACUCCACACUAAAUUAACGAUUUGUCAUUUGUUUUUGGUUUUUCCAACUAAUUAAGAUUUGUCAUUUUUUUUGAUUCCUGUUAAAUUAAUGAUCUGUUACUAUAUAGAAUUAUAGAUAAUUAAAUUAGUGUUUUUAUUUUUGUUCUUGACAUUCUGUUAGCUAUUUUUGUUACUUCUGUAGACAAACUUUUUUUAUUUUGUUUUAAACUUAGUUUGAUUCUUUCGGUGUAUGUUUUUGAGCUUUUAGUAUGAUAUUGCAGAUUUAAGUAGUGGGAGGAUUUGGAUGUGGAUUUGAUUGUCAUCAUGGCUUAGAGAAGUAUUGUCUGGAUUUGAGAAAAGAAAAAAAAACAGAAUAUAUAAUUUAAUCAAUCUCAAGCAGGGGCCCUUAGACACGUUUUUUUGUGACAAAAAACAAUCAGAAAGUUCAGUUAGUUGAAGAUGUAGAGAGUGAAGAAAAUAGAUUUGGAGAAUGAAGAACAAAAAAGAUUUGGAGGAAUGAAAAGAAGAAGAUUUGAUGAAUGAGGAGCCCAAUAAUGCCUAAAUGAUAGUGACACUGAAAAUAUGGAUGAUGGGUGCCAAAAUGAAGAGAUGAAUUUUGAUGUGGAUCUCAAAAUAUUAUGAUCCAAGUAAUUGCGACCAAAUUAAUCAAAAGUUUAUUGACUUUAUUGUUGAAAUGGGUGUAUAGGAUUAUGAACAUGAGUUUCCUAUGCUAUAGGCUUGGGUAAGCAUUUCUUCAUCUACUCAUUAGUUCGAAUUUGUUUGAAUGAGGGAGCAACCAAGAUAGGAGAUGCGCUAGUCUAUCAAAUGCUUCAAAACAAGCUGUUUUGUUUUGCUUGUAAAUUGUUUAAGCAUCGUAUGCAAGUGCAUUGAUUGAAAGCUAAUAAAAGAAAUUGCAAGUGCAAUGGAUAGAGGUCUAUAUUUGUUGAAAAAUGCAUAAUUCGUAGGAAGAAACAAUGUGCUGAGAGUGAAAGUAAAGAACCAACUCAAUCAAUUGAAGAAUCCUUAAAGAGUUAUUUACUUCUUGUGAUUAAGUAGAUCAAGCCCUUUCAGCGCUUGGAUCAGGUUCGAAGAAUUCCAAAAAUAUGAGGAAGGAUUUCGGUUUUGUAUUGAUUUGAAAAAGUCAGUCGUUCGGAAAUGAAAAUUUGAGAAGUGUUCUUGUCAAUCUGGAAAAUCGCUUGAAAAUAUAAGGAUUUUCUGAUAUUGAAUGGGCGAGAUUUAUUUUGUGAGCUUAAAAGUCUUGAAAUAAACUUUGCCAAAAAAGAAACAAAGAAGCCAAUUGAAGGGCUCAACUAUUUAAAAUAUGGAUGGGUUGGUCCCAAAUGCAUUCAUCGCUUAUAGGGUGCUCCUUAACCAGACCGGUACAGUGUUCUGGAGAAAGAAGUUUUUCAAAAUUGAAGUUGAUAAAAAAUUAUCUUCAGUCAACCAUUUCUCAAGAAAGACUGAAUGGAAUAGCUAUGCUAUCGAUUGAAGCAGAUACGGCCAAAUAAUCUUGAAUACGAGCUUGAUUAGUACUUUGGCAGUCAAAAUGCAAGGAAGAGUGAAUUUAGAUGAUAGUAUUUUCAAAACGUUAUUGUAAUGAUAUGUAGUAUUGAUAUUUUGUUCUAUGACACUUUUAAGUUUAAUUUCUAUUUUGUUUGAUUUUGUUUUUUUGUGAUUUUAGUUUGUUAAAAAUUAUAGUUUGCUAUCACUAUAUGAUUGAAAAAAAAAAAAAAUUAAUAGUCACAAGUUCAUAAUCGAUUAGAAGGCCUUCUAAUUUGAAUUUCGAUUGAGGACCCUCCAAUCUUAGGGGCCGGCAAAUGAUUGUUGUAAGUGUGUGCCGGGAGUUGACAAUUCUCGGACUUGGACGGAACGGAAAGUGCUGGAAUAUUGCAUCAACAAUUGCGAAAGGGAGGCUUCGUAAAAAAUAGGAAUCAGUUCAAAAACUAAACUGUUAAAAAAAAAGAGUAACUUUAAAACUAACUACGUUAAAAAAAAAAGAAAAAACCCGAAAUUGAUUCCAAAUUAUGAGAGACUUUAAAGAGUCCCGAUGUGGAGAUAUUUACUAUUCCAAAAAAAAAAACAUACAGUGAAAUUUAUCUGUGUGGUGCAGGCGGGAUGGAGGGGGGGCGGGGCGGUUAGAUUAUCAAAAAUUUUAAAAAUGAAUGACAAAAAUAAAUCUGGGGCUCCAGUUCCAUUACCAAAUCAAAAUACACGGGUAUUGGACCAUUGGUCACAUCUAAGAUGCAUUGAGCCCCCAAUGCAGAUAUCCAGGUCCAAGCCCUAGAGGUAGCCCAGUCCAUGCUAGCCCUUUAACAAUGUAACUUCAAUGCAUUCUUUUUGUUGUUGUUGUUUUUACCUUUAUGUCCUUAAAAACUGUGUGGGAUUAUGAAUUGGAUAAUGAGAUUCUACCAAAAAAAAUGAUAAUAAGAAUAAAACAUUAAAACCCCCAAAAAAUGAUGGAUAGGUAAUGGUAUUCUGAAUUGAUAAGACUCAUAUCUUGUCACAUUCUGUUAUGGAUUUUCCUGUAUGUAAUAAUACUCUAUGAAUUAAAAAAAUAAAUUCAGUAAGAUUAAAAUCAACUUCAAGAAAAAUAAUUACAAGGUAAAGCCACAAAAAAUUCUGAUCAUUCCAAUCAUUAAAAAAAAACAUAGUUAAAAAUUAUUCUUCUGGC
rnacentral:lncRNA from 1 species